rnacentral:rRNA from 1 species
AUACGGAGGGUGCAAGCGUUGUUCGGAAUUAUUGGGCGUAAAGCGCAUGUAGGCGGCUUGGUAAGUCAGGUGUGAAAGCCCUUAGCUCAACUAAGGAAAGUCAUCUGAAACUGCCAGGCUUGAGUACGGGAGAGGAGAGUGGAAUUCCCGGUGUAGAGGUGAAAUUCGUAGAUAUCGGGAGGAACACCCGUGGCGAAGGCGACUCUCUGGACCGAUACUGACGCUGAGACGCGAAAGCGUGGGGAGCAAACAGGAUUAGAUACCCCGGUAGUCC